rnacentral:misc_RNA from 1 species
GGAUAAUUUUCCCCUUCUUAUCCCAUUCCCCUCCCCCAAAUCCCAAUUUCUUUCUCUCCAUCCUUCCCCAAAAACAACAUUGUGAUUACACUUGUGCCAUUUCAGUAACUUCCCAAAAUGUACAGUUUGAGGUGGAAAAUGAGUGCCUUGACAAGUCAUUUUCUAUUUGAUUGAUAGAAGUCAUUGAUGUCCAUUCUAUGAUUUAUUUGCAAUAGCUCAAGAU